UAGAACUUCACUGGAUGAGGGCACUAUGCUCAUUGGUGAAUUACUCCUCUAAUGACUUCAUAGUUAAAUGUGCUGUUAGGAGGUAGGGCCUUGUUGGAAGAGGAGGGUCAUUGGAGGCAGCACCUCUCUUCCUUCUCUGUUUCCUGGUCACCAUGAUGUGAAUAGUGUUUCCCUUUGGCAAGCCUUUCCUCUGCCUGGGAGCCUGUCAACCAUGUACUGAAACUUCUGAAACUGUGAACUAAAAUAAACUUCUCCUCAUUUAAUUUGCAGGUAUUGGAUACUAUAUCUCAACAAUGAAGAAAGUGACUAAGAGAACACUGAAUCCCCUCCCAAUUUUAUCCCUCUGGUUCACAUUGACUGUACCCGUGGGCUGGGACAACUGGCGCCCAAUGUGACGACUCCAGUACGGGGGUUCCAGUGACGGACGCUGUUCAAGAGGCCGGCAAAAUAAAAGUGAAAGAA
rnacentral:lncRNA from 1 species